rnacentral:tRNA from 1 species
AGUUAAAAACUAUUAAGUAAUAUGUUUUGAAAACAUAAAUUAAGGAAUUUAAAUUCCUAUUAACUU